GAUGAACGCUGGCGGUAUGCCUAACACAUGCAAGUCGUACGAGAGUUUUUAACUCUAGUGGCGGACGGGUGAGUAACACGUGAGAAUUUGCCUUUAGGAGGGGGAUAACAAUUGGAAACGAAUGCUAAUACCCCAUAUGCUUUUGAGUGAAAUGGAUUUUAUCCGCCUAGAGAGAAGCUCGCGGCUGAUUAGCUUGUUGGUAAGGUAAGAGCUUACCAAGGCGACGAUCAGUAUCUGGUUUGAGAGGACGAUCAGACACACUGGAACUGAGACACGGUCCAGACUCCUACGGGAGGCAGCAGUGGGGAAUUUUCCGCAAUGGGCGAAAGCCUGACGGAGCAAUACCGCGUGAGGGAAGAAUGCCUAUGGGUUGUAAACCUCUUUUCAGGGAGGAAUAAAAUGACGUGUACCUGAAGAAUAAGCAUCGGCUAACUCCGUG
rnacentral:rRNA from 1 species